UAUAAAGCAAGAGAAUCCGCCGACAAUUGCCUGUGCUUACUGGUUUCUGACAUUAACCUGCGAAUGGUGCAACUGCAGUCAGAGAGGCAAACUCCGGAAUGACUGUUCCUUGCGAUUCCGACAGUAAUAAAGUGGAGUAAUAAAAACCCCUAACGCUGUGAGCGGAUCUACGCGGUAACAGGUUGCUGCAGACAAACUUUUUGGUCUCGAUGUCAAUUUUAAACUCGAGGAUGGCAUGGUAGUCCUCAGCUUGAUCCAGAACCGGACAGCUCCAAGCGGACUCAUCUCUUUCCAUACAAGUUGGCUACAUGUUGUGACCAGCCUCCUAACAUUUGUUUCGCUGUGAUGAUGUCAUCUGCUGAAGAAUGAAGGACUCACAAUGAAAAUUUAAAAAGAAAAUCUGAGCUGUAACCACAAAUUAAAUGCCGUAUUAUAG